ACGAACAUACUUCAUAGGAUCAUUUCUAUAGUAUCUGUUCUGGCAUUGGUUUUCUAAACCUGCCAUCGAGUUACACUCGGUUGAUGAGCUUUGGCUCUUUCGUGCGAUUAAGAGCGAGGAUCCUCCCUUGUUUCGAUGCUGUUUGAGCUUGUCGGCUUUUCCUCUUGGAUUGGUCAGUGGGUUAGGCGUCGAGACACGAUGAACUCUGGCCCGGCUGUGCUUUGUCUUCGGACGGCAUGCUGGGUUGCACGGAAGAGCGCUCUGACGGGC
rnacentral:snoRNA from 1 species